UACGUAGGGUGCAAGCGUUGUCCGGAAUUACUGGGCGUAAAGAGCUCGUAGGCGGUCUGUCACGUCGGCUGUGAAAACCCGGGGCUCAACCCCGGGCCUGCAGUCGAUACGGGCAGACUAGAGUGCGGUAGGGGAGACUGGAAUUCCUGGUGUAGCGGUGAAAUGCGCAGAUAUCAGGAGGAACACCGGUGGCGAAGGCGGGUCUCUGGGCCGUAACUGACGCUGAGGAGCGAAAGCGUGGGGAGCGAACAGG
rnacentral:rRNA from 1 species